UUUUGCUCCUGCACAUCGAGGCGUAAGCGGGAAGUACGACUGCCUGCUAUCCAGACUAGCCUACAUAUGCAGAUUUCUCAGCAUUUCAUAGGUUUUUAAAAAUGCCCAGAAGUAUUAGGAUGGUUUUAGCAGACAUGCUGGAGGACCUGUCAAAGUCAGAGAGACAGCUGGAGGACAUUAGACAUCUCCCUCUGACAUUGCAAGACCCUCAGCAGGAGCCGCCUUGGUGGGAAAAG